AUGAACCUGCUACUGAUUUUCCUGUUCAUGCUGGAGGCCCCUUCAGGUGUCCUCUCCCAAGUGCAGCUGAAGGAAACGGGUCCGGGAGCGGCGAAAUCUGGGGAGUCCCUGACACUCACUUGUACCAUCUCCGGAGACUCGGUUUCUAGCACCAGAGCCACCUGGGACUGGUUCCGGCAGCCCGCGGGGAAGCGGCCAGAAUGGAUGGGGUGCACAUGGUACAGGUCUGGCAGUUGGUACACUGAGUACCCCAGCUCUCUGCAGAGUCGAAUGACCAUCACACAAGACACUUCCAAGAACCAGUUCUCCCUGCAGCUCCGCUCGCUGACAGCUGCAGACACCGCCACCUAUUACUGCUCGGGGAGAGACACACAGUGACACAGAGCAAAGCAGGGACCGAUAGAAAAAGGGGAAGCGGUUUUUCCACAGUGCAGUGAUGUUCUGGCUACCGUGACAUUGGUAACACCGUGGGGAUUCUAGACCUCAUUCUCCAUGGCCUUUA